rnacentral:rRNA from 1 species
GUGUCAGCAGCCGCGGUAAUACGUAGGGGGCUAGCGUUGUCCGGAUUUAUUGGGCGUAAAGCGCGUGUAGGCGGCCAGGUAGGUCCGUUGUGAAAGCUCGAGGCUCAACCUCGAGACGCCGGCGGAAACCAUCUGGCUAGAGUCCGGAAGAGGAGAGUGGAAUUCCCGGUGUAGCGGUGAAAUGCGCAGAUAUCGGGAAGAACACCCGUGGCGAAGGCGGCUCUCUGGGACGGUACUGACGCUGAGACGCGAAAGCGUGGGGAGCGAACAGGAUUAGAAACCCGCGUAGUCC